CAACAGAAACUAAUGCUAGAACUAAACAGCCUCAGACCCUGAUUUCUAAACUCUGAGCAGUGAAAGCCAGAUCAACUCAGCUGCUCCUCGUUUUGGAGUAAUUGCUGCAUGGUCAUGAUGGCACAGCCAAAGCUGCAGUAAGAAGAGAAAACUGUGUGUCAGUUACAGACUGGCGAUAUCUUUGUUCUCCAGGAUCUCCGUCUUCUGCUCAGGUUGGAGCAAAGUGUUUGACACCAUGGCUUUUGCCACCACUGGGACUGGGAUGGCCAUGGAUGUAGAAGACACAGCGGAAAAGGCACUGAAGAAUUUUCUGGCCAACCACUCAGCAGGCCGACUCUCCUGCCUAUCUACCAAUAAAACCCUGUUGGAGUAAAGCACAAAGGUGAGCUGUCUCCUUCCAAUGAGAGUAAUCUUGGAGAAGAGGUUGCGUGCUAGCAGCUCUUUGAGAACCACCUGGCCCGUCUCUCCAGAAGCACCAAGGAUGAAACAGCUUUUAUUUUGCUGCCUGAAGUUCUCCUCCAGAGUCUUCAUGUCCUCUGCCAUGCUGCCAAAACAGACAUCUCUCUUUGAAGCAAGUGCAGGUUAGGAACAUUUUACGACCUUGGAGGCUUUGGAAUCAGUCCCCAUUUGGUAAACACUUUGAAAAGAAGGCUUCAGUAUUGUUAAUAUUGACUUUUAGUGUAAUCUUGAUGAUAAAAGUUUUAUUGUGUCAUCAUUUAACAUUUUCCUGACCAAAUAAAUGAAUCCAAACCAUUCCUAAU